rnacentral:lncRNA from 1 species
ACAUUAUUCUUGGUAUUUUAGUUGUGAUUAUAGCUUCCACAUCCACCACCUUGACCACCUCUACCUCCUCGUUGCCCAUGGCCAACAUAGCCUCCUCGCCCUUGUUUAUUACUUGACUCAUUAGGAUUUUUAGAAAAAUGCAUCUUUGUGUGAAAUGCAUUUUUAGCAUCACACUCUUCACGUUUGUUAAGCUUAUCCUCGUGAGAUUGCAAUGAGUCAAGUAAUUCAUGAGUUGUUAGUUGACUCAAGUCUCUGGAUUCUUCUAUAGUAGCCAUUAUGUGAUCAUAUUUCUUUAGAAGACUUCGCAGCACUUUUUCAACAAUCUUUUGCUCCAAUAGUUGAUCAACAUAUUUACGUAUCUGGUUAACAACCUUCAUUAUUUAUAAAAAUGGGCCUCCAUAGUCUUACCUUCCUUAAUGUAGACCUCCUCAAAUUAUCUUCUAAGUGUUGCAGUUUGACGGAUUGAACCUUGGCAGACUCCCUAUAGGCCAUUUUUAGUGCAUUCCAUGCAUCUUGUGACUUCGC